UACGGAGGGGACUAGCGUUGUUCGGAAUUACUGGGCGUAAAGCGCACGUAGGCGGAUUUUUAAGUCAGGGGUGAAAUCCUGGAGCUCAACUCCAGAACUGCCUUUGAUACUGGGAAUCUCGAGUCCGGAAGAGGUGAGUGGGAACUGCGAGUGGUAGAGGUGAAAUUCGUAGAUAUUCGCAAGAACACCAGUGGCGAAGGCGGCUCACUGGUCCGGUACUGACGCUGAGGUGCGGAAAGCCGUGGGGAGCAACAGGG
rnacentral:rRNA from 1 species